GUGCUUGCUUCGGCAGCUCAUGUACUAAAAUUGGAAUGAUACAGAGAAGAUUAGUAUGGUCCCUAGGAAAAAAAGGGGGAAAAUCCCUCAAUCUUU
rnacentral:snRNA from 1 species